rnacentral:rRNA from 1 species
UACGGAGGGUGCAAGCGUUGCUCGGAAUUAUUGGGCGUAAAGGGCAGGUAGGUGGUCUCAUUUGUCUGAUGUGAAAGCCUUGGGCUUAACUCAAGAAGUGCGUCAGAAACGGUGAGACUCGAGUACUGGAGAGGUAAGUGGAAUUCCCGGUGUAGCGGUGAAAUGCGUAGAGAUCGGGAGGAACACCAGAGGCGAAGGCGGCUUACUGGACAGUCACUGACACUCAACUGCGAAAGCGUGGGGAGCAAACAGG